rnacentral:lncRNA from 1 species
GGAAGACUUAAGAUGGCGGCGUUUGCACGGAGUGCAAUCACUGCGUCCUUACGGGGGUUGCAAGGCGUCCGAAGUAUGAGUCCACUAACAAAAGUCCAGAAACUCGCCAGUUAAUAGUAUUGUGUCUCUUCAAAAUAUCGGAGAAUAAUUUCUUUCUCGCUGAUCGCCUAACUUCUACUGACGAAGCUUGGAAGUUGCAGAAGACAUGAUGUAUUGAGUAAAAGGAACUUCGGUACACAGGCCUUUAGUGAUGUGGUGGUAAGAUGUAUGAUGGAGUUCGCUCUUGUUGCCCAGGCUGGAAUGCAAUGGCAUGACCUUGGCUCACUGCAACCUCUGCCUCCCCAGUUCAAGUGGUUCUCCUGCCUCAGCCUCCCGAGUAGCUGAGAUUACAGUUUCUUCAAAGGAAAGAAGCAACUGGAACACACAUAUAACACUAACCCUUCCAGCUGCAUUAUGAGGGACCAGUACCUGUCUCAAGGCAAAAUUAUGACUUAGUUCAUCCUCACCUCUGGAGGCCAGUAAAAGUGGGUUAUAGAAGAACAAAGAGGCAUCUAGAUCUUUCACUGGGUUAUUUGGAGAGAAACAUCUCCUACCGAAGGCCAGUUUAACAAGACUGGUAGAGGAGGUUAUCUUAUCUAAUUCACAGAAAUCAACACAUUGAGUCAAGAAAAAUGAAACACAGAAACACUCUAAAUAAAAGAAGAUAAGUCUUCAGAAACCAACCCUAAUGAAAUGAAGAUAUGUGAUUAACCUGACAGGAAAUUAAAAAGAGCAACCAUAAAGAGUCUCAUGGGAGCAAUGCAUGAACAAACUGAGAAUUUUCAUAAAGAAAUAAAAGAUAACAAAAAGUAUAAAGUUGAAGAAUACAAUAACUGGACUCAAAAAUUUAAUGUGUCCAACAGAAGAAUCGAUGAAGCAGAAGAAAGGGCUAUCAAACUUGUAGAUAGGCCAUUGGAAAUCAUGUAAUGUGAGGAGAAAAAAGAAAAAAGAUUGAAGAUAGUUUAAGAGACUUUUGAGACAUCCUCAAAGGGGAAUAAUUUAUACAUUACCAGAUGGAGAAGAUAGAGGGAAAAGGACAGAAAACAUAUUUGAAGAAAUAAUGUCAGAAAACCUCAUAAUUCUGGCAAGGAAAUAGAAAUUUAGAUCUAAGAAUCUCGAACAUCAGGUAUGAUGAAUCCAAGGAGACUCACACCAAACCAUAUUGUAAUUAAAUAAAGGUUAAAGACAAUCUUCAGAGCAGCAAGGGAAUAGUCUCUUCUUACAUACAAAAUGAUCCACGGAAGACUGUCAGCAGACUUCACCAGAAAACUUUCACGCCAGAAGGCAGUCGUGAUAUAUACAAAAAGCUGAAAGGAAAACACUGCCAUCCAGGAAUACUAUCUCCAACUAUCCUGUGUUUCAAAAAUUAAGGAGAAAUAUAAAGUUCUCAAACAAAAGAUGUGGGAGUUUACCACCACUAGACCUGCACGGGAAGAAUUGCUAAAGGGAGUCCUUCAAGCUGUAGUAAAAGAGUGCUAAUUAGAAACAUGAAAA